GAUGAACGCUGGCGGCGUGCCUAAUACAUGCAAGUCGAGCGAACAGACGAGGAGCUUGCUCCUUCGACGUUAGCGGCGGACGGGUGAGUAACACGUAGGUAACCUACCUAUAAGACUGGGAUAACUUCGGGAAACCGGAGCUAAUACCGGAUAAUAUUUCGAACCGCAUGGUUCGAUAGUGAAAGAUGGCUUUGCUAUCACUUAUAGAUGGACCUGCGCCGUAUUAGCUAGUUGGUAAGGUAACGGCUUACCAAGGCAACGAUACGUAGCCGACCUGAGAGGGUGAUCGGCCACACUGGAACUGAGACACGGUCCAGACUCCUACGGGAGGCAGCAGUGGGGAAUCUUCCGCAAUGGGCGAAAGCCUGACGGAGCCACGCCGCGUGAGUGAUGAAGGUCUUCGGAUCGUAAAGCUCUGUUAUUAGGGAAGAACAAACGUGUAAGUAACUGUGCACGUCUUGACGGUACCUAAUCAGAAAGCCACGGCUAACUACGUG
rnacentral:rRNA from 1 species